rnacentral:rRNA from 1 species
AGAAUUUGAUCUUGGUCAGGACGAACGCUGGCGGCGUGCCUAACACAUGCAAGUCGAGCGGAGAUACGUUGAAGAUUAUCUGAUACGUAUUUAGCGGCGGACGGGUGAGUAACGCGUGGGCAACCUACCUCUAACUGGGGGAUAACACAGGGAAACUUGUGCUAAUACCGCAUAACAUAUUGAGAGGACAUCCUUUUAAUAUCAAAGGAGCAAUCCGGUGAGAGAUGGGCCCGCGUCCAAUUAGCUAGUUGGUGAGAUAACAGCCCACCAAGGCGACGAUUGGUAGCCGAACUGAGAGGUUGAUCGGCCACAUUGGGACUGAGACACGGCCCAGACUCCUACGGGAGGCAGCAGUGGGGAAUAUUGCGCAAUGGGGGAAACCCUGACGCCAGCAACGCCGCGUGAAGGAUGAAGGUUUUCGGAUCGUAAACUUCUUUGAUGAGGGACGAAACAAAUGACGGUACCUCAAAAACAAGCCACGGCUAACUACGUGCCAGCAGCUGC